rnacentral:rRNA from 1 species
AUUGAACGCUGGCGGCAGGCCUAACACAUGCAAGUCGAACGAGUGGCGGACGGGUGAGUAAUGUCUGGGAAACUGCCUGAUGGAGGGGGAUAACUACUGGACACGGUAGCUAAUACCGCAUACCAUCGGAUGUGCCCAGAUGGGAGUAGCUAGUAGGUGGGGUAAAGGCUCACCUAGGCGACGAUCCCUAGCUGGUCUGAGAGGAUGACCAGCCACACAGGAACUGAGACACGGUCCAUACUCCUACGGAAGGCAGCAGUGGGGAAUAUUGCAACAUGGGCGCAAGCCUGAUGCAGCCAUGCCGCGAGUAUGAAGAAGGCCUUCGGGUUGUAAAGUACUGUCAGCGGGGAGGCGUUACCCGCAGAAGAAGAACCGGCUAACUCCGUGCCAGCAGACGCGGUAAUUC